UAAAGGGGCUGGGAGAGCCCAGCGCUGCUGCGGGCUCAGAGGCAGAGCUCAGGGCGCGUCCACCAUGGCCUGGACCCCUCUCCUGCUGCCCCUCCUCACUCUCUGCACAGCUCGUGUGGUCACUUCUCAGCUGACUCAGCCGCCUGCGGUGUCCGUGUCCUUGGGACAGAAGGCCAGCAUCACCUGCCAGGGAGACAAUUUAGCAUUUCUUGGUGCUAACUGGUACCAGCAGAAGCCGGGCCAGGCCCCUGUGACGGUCAUUUAUGGGAAUAGUGAGCGGGCCUCAGGGAUCCCUGACCGGUUCUCUGGCUCCAACUUGGGGGACACGGCCAACCUGACCAUCAGCGGGGCCCAGGCUGAGGACGAGGCCGACUAUUACUGUCAGUCAGCUGAUGUCAGUAGUGGUGAUGCUCACAGUGACACAGACAGACGGGGAAGUCUGCUCAUCAUCUCACAGAGUGGCCACCGGGGCCAGCAGAGAGUCCCUCGGCCCAGCAUCUGGAGCUGA